CGGGGCGUAGCGCAGCCUGGUAGCGCAUCUGCCUUGGGGACAGAUGGUCGCAGGUUCAAAUCCUGCCGCCCCGACCA
rnacentral:tRNA from 1 species